rnacentral:lncRNA from 1 species
GCCGCAAGUUAAGAUCAUCGCGAAGAAUUUCAUGGACAUGGUGGCGUCUCUUCCAGCCAUCAAGCUUGACAAGCUCUACAACAAUGUCUUCAUCUGCGAGGCUAUUCUCAGGUUAGGUUAUGUGUCUUUGUUUUGAAUCAUAGAUACUGAAAUGUGGGUUUCAGAGGAUUUUUGUUUGCUGUUGUUGAGUUUGGAAACAAAUUUGAGGAUCUUACAUUCUUGAGAUGGUAAUCAGGUCUUUGCCGCCUCUAGCCAAGAAGUAUGUAUUGCAGAUGUUGUACAUUGAUGUUGCUGUACCUGCUACGGUGUUGGAGGAGUGGGUGCUCG